AAGGGCACACGGGGGAUGCCUAGGCUCUCAGAGGCGAAGAAGGACGUGAUAAGCUGCGAUAAGCAUCGGGGAUUGGCAAAUGCGACUAGAUCCGAUGAUUUCCGAAUGGGGCAACCUAACAUACUGAAGGUAUGUUGUAUAAUACGCGAACGCGC
rnacentral:sRNA from 1 species